UACGGGGGGGGGCAAGCGUUGUUCGGAAUUAUUGGGCGUAAAGGGCUCGUAGGCGGUUUGUCGCGUCGGGAGUGAAAACACUGGGCUUAACUCAGUGCUUGCUUUCGAUACGGGCAGACUAGAGGUAUGCAGGGGAGAACGGAAUUCCUGGUGUAGCGGUGAAAUGCGCAGAUAUCAGGAGGAAUACCGAUGGCGAAGGCAGGUCUCUGGGCUAUAACUGACGCUCAUGCACGAAAGCGUGGGGAGCAAACAGG
rnacentral:rRNA from 1 species